UAGGGAAUCUUCGGCAAUGGGGGGAACCCUGACCGAGCAACGCCGCGUGAGUGAAGAAGGUUUUCGGAUCGUAAAGCUCUGUUGUUAAGGAAGAACGAGUGUGAGAAUGGAAAGUUCAUGCUGUGACGGUACUUAACCAGACAGGGACGGCUAACUACGUGCCAGCAGCCUCGGUAAUACGUAGGUCCCGAGCGUUGUCCGGAUUUAUUGGGCGUAAAGCGAGCGCAGGCGGUUAGAAAAGUCUGAAGUGAAAGGCAGUGGCUCAACCAUUGUAGGCUUUGGAAACUGUUUAACUUGAGUGCAGAAGGGGAGAGUGGAAUUCCAUGUGUAGCGGUGAAAUGCGUAGAUAUAUGGAGGAACACCGGUGGCGAAAGCGGCUCUCUGGUCUGUAACUGACGCUGAGGCUCGAAAGCGUGGGGAGCGAACAGG
rnacentral:rRNA from 1 species